UACAGAGGGGGCCAGCGUUAUUCGGAAUUAUUGGGCGUAAAGGGCGCGUAGGCGGCUUUGCGUGUCUUUCGUGAAAUCCCUCGGCUCAACUGAGGACGUGCGGAAGAAACUGCAGGGCUGGAGUCCGGGAGAGGAGGGUGGAAUUCCCAGUGUAGCGGUGAAAUGCGUAGAUAUUGGGAGGAACACCGGUGGCGAAGGCGGCCCUCUGGACCGGUACUGACGCUGAUGCGCGAAAGCUAGGGGAGCAAACGGG
rnacentral:rRNA from 1 species